UGAGGAUAUGGCAGGGAAGGGGA
rnacentral:miRNA from 1 species